rnacentral:rRNA from 1 species
GACGAACGCUGGCGGCGUGCUUAACACAUGCAAGUCGAACGGAAAGGCCCUGCUCUUGUGGGGUGCUCGAGUGGCGAACGGGUGAGUAACACGUGAGUAACCUGCCCUUGACUUUGGGAUAACUUCAGGAAACUGGGUCUAAUACCGGAUAGGAGCUCCUGCUGCAUGGUGGGGGUUGGAAAGUUUCGGCGGUUGGGGAUGGACUCGCGGCUUAUCAGCUUGUUGGUGGGGUAGUGGCUUACCAAGGCUUUGACGGGUAGCCGACCUGAGAGGGUGACAGGCCACACUGGAACUGAGACACGGGCCAGACUCCUACGGGAGGCAGCAGUAGGGAAUCUUCAGCAAUGGGCGAAAGACUGACGGAGCAACGCCGCGUGAGUGAUGAAGGUCUUCGGAUCGUAAAACUCGGUUAUUAGUGAAGAACAGAUGUGUAAGGAACUGUGCACAGCUUGACGGUACAUAAUAAGAAAGACACGGCUAACUACGUG